rnacentral:rRNA from 1 species
UGGGGAAUCUUGCGCAAUGGGCGAAAGCCUGACGCAGCCAUGCCGCGUGGAUGAUGAAGGUCUUAGGAUUGUAAAAUCCUUUCACCGGUGAAGAUAAUGACUGUAGCCGGAGAAGAAGCCCCGGCUAACUUCGUGCCAGCAGCCGCGGUAAUACGAAGGGGGCUAGCGUUGCUCGGAAUUACUGGGCGUAAAGGGAGCGUAGGCGGACAUUUAAGUCAGGGGUGAAAUCCCAGAGCUCAACUCUGGAACUGCCUUUGAUACUGGAUGUCUUGAGUGUGAGAGAGGUGAGUGGAACUCCGAGUGUAGAGGUGAAAUUCGUAGAUAUUCGGAAGAACACCAGUGGCGAAGGCGACUCACUGGCUCAUUACUGACGCUGAGGCUCGAAAGCGUGGGGAGCAAACA